GAGCAGGGAGCGCGGAUAACCUUUGGUCGUCUUUUACGGACGGCAGCCGAUUUUCGGUGGGAUCCAACGGCCCGGACCUGCACCUUUC
rnacentral:ncRNA from 1 species